rnacentral:rRNA from 1 species
UAAGCGACUAAGCGUACACGGUGGAUGCCCUGGCAGUCAGAGGCGAUGAAGGACGUGCUAAUCUGCGAUAAGCGUCGGUAAGGUGAUAUGAACCGUUAUAACCGGCGAUUUCCGAAUGGGGAAACCCAGUGUGAUUCGUCACACUAUCAUUAACUGAAUCCAUAGGUUAAUGAGGCGAACCGGGGGAACUGAAACAUCUAAGUACCCCGAGGAAAAGAAAUCAACCGAGAUUCCCCCAGUAGCGGCGAGCGAACGGGGAGCAGCCCAGAGCCUGAAUCAGUGUGUGUGUUAGUGGAAGCGUCUGGAAAGGCGUGCGAUACAGGGUGACAGCCCCGUACACAAAAAUGCACAUACUGUGAGCUCGAUGAGUAGGGCGGGACACGUGGUAUCCUGUCUGAAUAUGGGGGGACCAUCCUCCAAGGCUAAAUACUCCUGACUGACCGAUAGUGAACCAGUACCGUGAGGGAAAGGCGAAAAGAACCCCGGCGAGGGGAGUGAAAAAGAACCUGAAACCGUGUACGUACAAGCAGUGGGAGCACGCUUAGGCGUGUGACUGCGUACCUUUUGUAUAAUGGGUCAGCGACUUAUAUUCUGUAGCAAGGUUAACCGAAUAGGGGAGCCGAAGGGAAACCGAGUCUUAACUGGGCGUUAAGUUGCAGGGUAUAGACCCGAAACCCGGUGAUCUAGCCAUGGGCAGGUUGAAGGUUGGGUAACACUAACUGGAGGACCGAACCGACUAAUGUUGAAAAAUUAGCGGAUGACUUGUGGCUGGGGGUGAAAGGCCAAUCAAACCGGGAGAUAGCUGGUUCUCCCCGAAAGCUAUUUAGGUAGCGCCUCGUGAAUUCAUCUCCGGGGGUAGAGCACUGUUUCGGCAAGGGGGUCAUCCCGACUUACCAACCCGAUGCAAACUGCGAAUACCGGAGAAUGUUAUCACGGGAGACACACGGCGGGUGCUAACGUCCGUUGUGAGAGGGAAACAACCCAGACCGCCAGCUAAGGUCCCAAAGUCAUGGUUAAGUGGGAAACGAUGUGGGAAGGCCCAGACAGCCAGGAUGUUGGCUUAGAAGCAGCCAUCAUUUAAAGAAAGCGUAAUAGCUCACUGGUCGAGUCGGCCUGCGCGGAAGAUGUAACGGGGCUAAACCAUGCACCGAAGCUGCGGCAGCGACGCUUAUGCGUUGUUGGGUAGGGGAGCGUUCUGUAAGCCUGUGAAGGUGUACUGUGAGGUAUGCUGGAGGUAUCAGAAGUGCGAAUGCUGACAUAAGUAACGAUAAAGCGGGUGAAAAGCCCGCUCGCCGGAAGACCAAGGGUUCCUGUCCAACGUUAAUCGGGGCAGGGUGAGUCGACCCCUAAGGCGAGGCCGAAAGGCGUAGUCGAUGGGAAACAGGUUAAUAUUCCUGUACUUGGUGUUACUGCGAAGGGGGGACGGAGAAGGCUAUGUUGGCCGGGCGACGGUUGUCCCGGUUUAAGCGUGUAGGCUGGUUUUCCAGGCAAAUCCGGAAAAUCAAGGCCGAGGCGUGAUGACGAGGCACUACGGUGCUGAAGCAACAAAUGCCCUGCUUCCAGGAAAAGCCUCUAAGCAUCAGGUAACAUCAAAUCGUACCCCAAACCGACACAGGUGGUCAGGUAGAGAAUACCAAGGCGCUUGAGAGAACUCGGGUGAAGGAACUAGGCAAAAUGGUGCCGUAACUUCGGGAGAAGGCACGCUGAUACGUAGGUGAAGCGACUUGCUCGUGGAGCUGAAAUCAGUCGAAGAUACCAGCUGGCUGCAACUGUUUAUUAAAAACACAGCACUGUGCAAACACGAAAGUGGACGUAUACGGUGUGACGCCUGCCCGGUGCCGGAAGGUUAAUUGAUGGGGUUAGCGCAAGCGAAGCUCUUGAUCGAAGCCCCGGUAAACGGCGGCCGUAACUAUAACGGUCCUAAGGUAGCGAAAUUCCUUGUCGGGUAAGUUCCGACCUGCACGAAUGGCGUAAUGAUGGCCAGGCUGUCUCCACCCGAGACUCAGUGAAAUUGAACUCGCUGUGAAGAUGCAGUGUACCCGCGGCAAGACGGAAAGACCCCGUGAACCUUUACUAUAGCUUGACACUGAACAUUGAGCCUUGAUGUGUAGGAUAGGUGGGAGGCUUUGAAGUGUGGACGCCAGUCUGCAUGGAGCCGACCUUGAAAUACCACCCUUUAAUGUUUGAUGUUCUAACGUGGACCCGUAAUCCGGGUUGCGGACAGUGUCUGGUGGGUAGUUUGACUGGGGCGGUCUCCUCCUAAAGAGUAACGGAGGAGCACGAAGGUUGGCUAAUCCUGGUCGGACAUCAGGAGGUUAGUGCAAUGGCAUAAGCCAGCUUGACUGCGAGCGUGACGGCGCGAGCAGGUGCGAAAGCAGGUCAUAGUGAUCCGGUGGUUCUGAAUGGAAGGGCCAUCGCUCAACGGAUAAAAGGUACUCCGGGGAUAACAGGCUGAUACCGCCCAAGAGUUCAUAUCGACGGCGGUGUUUGGCACCUCGAUGUCGGCUCAUCACAUCCUGGGGCUGAAGUAGGUCCCAAGGGUAUGGCUGUUCGCCAUUUAAAGUGGUACGCGAGCUGGGUUUAGAACGUCGUGAGACAGUUCGGUCCCUAUCUGCCGUGGGCGCUGGAGAACUGAGGGGGGCUGCUCCUAGUACGAGAGGACCGGAGUGGACGCAUCACUGGUGUUCGGGUUGUCAUGCCAAUGGCACUGCCCGGUAGCUAAAUGCGGAAGAGAUAAGUGCUGAAAGCAUCUAAGCACGAAACUUGCCCCGAGAUGAGUUCUCCCUGACCCUUUAAGGGUCCUGAAGGAACGUUGAAGACGACGACGUUGAUAGGCCGGGUGUGUAAGCGCAGCGAUGCGUUGAGCUAACCGGUACUAAUGAACCGUGAGGCUUAACCU